UGGUUGCUGCUCUCCAUGAGCUGUUCCAACUGUGAAGCAAAAGCUUCAUGCAUAAAGGCAUCCCAACGCAGUCAAUGACGCACAGGAGAAAGAGGACAGAGAUAAGCUUCUUGCCUGUUCCAGACACUGAGGAUCAGGCAGAGAGAGAGGCUCCUGCCAGGCUGAGCGGUGCUCUGAGGAACAUUUCGGGAGCCUCCAGAACUGAAGAGGGGGCCAACUCUCUGGAGAAAAAUGAAUGGAUGUAGGCCCAAAGGAGCCGAAUGUUUUCCUUGGCUGAAUGGCAAGCAAGCACCAAGUGUGUUUCCGGAGUGUGGAUAUGAACAGCCGUCUUGGGUCCUGAGGUGGAAGCCAUGUGUGGAAGAUGGAGGGCAUCGGUUAGAAGGAGUCUAGUCCCUGAUGGUCACUGAGCUGCAGAACCAGCCUGGGCUGCUUCCUGCUGGAUGUCACUUACUAGAGAGCGAAAUUAAAUGUGCUUCAGCUACUGUU
rnacentral:lncRNA from 1 species